rnacentral:rRNA from 1 species
GGGACACGUGGUAUCCUGUCUGAAUAUGGGGGGACCAUCCUCCAAGGCUAAAUACUCCUGACUGACCGAUAGUGAACCAGUACCGUGAGGGAAAGGCGAAAAGAACCCCGGCGAGGGGAGUGAAAAAGAACCUGAAACCGUGUACGUACAAGCAGUGGGAGCCUCUUAAUGGGGUGACUGCGUACCUUUUGUAUAAUGGGUCAGCGACUUAUAUUCUGUAGCAAGGUUAACCGAAUAGGGGAGCCGAAGGGAAACCGAGUCUUAACUGGGCGUUAAGUUGCAGGGUAUAGACCCGAAACCCGGUGAUCUAGCCAUGGGCAGGUUGAAGGUUGGGUAACACUAACUGGAGGACCGAACCGACUAAUGUUGAAAAAUUAGCGGAUGACUUGUGGCUGGGGGUGAAAGGCCAAUCAAACCGGGAGAUAGCUGGUUCUCCCCGAAAGCUAUUUAGGUAGCGCCUCGUGAAUUCAUCUCCGGGGGUAGAGCACUGUUUCGGCAAGGGGGUCAUCCCGACUUACCAACCCGAUGCAAACUGCGAAUACCGGAGAAUGUUAUCACGGGAGACACACGGCGGGUGCUAACGUCCGUCGUGAAGAGGGAAACAACCCAGACCGCCAGCUAAGGUCCCAAAGUCAUGGUUAAGUGGGAAACGAUGUGGGAAGGCCCAGACAGCCAGGAUGUUGGCUUAGAAGCAGCCAUCAUUUAAAGAAAGCGUAAUAGCUCACUGGUCGAGUCGGCCUGCGCGGAAGAUGUAACGGGGCUAAACCAUGCACCGAAGCUGCGGCAGCGACACUAUGUGUUGUUGGGUAGGGGAGCGUUCUGUAAGCCUGUGAAGGUGUACUGUGAGGUAUGCUGGAGGUAUCAGAAGUGCGAAUGCUGACAUAAGUAACGAUAAAGCGGGUGAAAAGCCCGCUCGCCGGAAGACCAAGGGUUCCUGUCCAACGUUAAUCGGGGCAGGGUGAGUCGACCCCUAAGGCGAGGCCGAAAGGCGUAGUCGAUGGGAAACAGGUUAAUAUUCCUGUACUUGGUGUUACUGCGAAGGGGGGACGGAGAAGGCUAUGUUGGCCGGGCGACGGUUGUCCCGGUU